rfam:Chlorocebus sabaeus isolate 1994-021 chromosome 8, whole genome shotgun sequence.
UAAAAGGAUUUUUUAAAAUCCUUUAAAAAUACACAUACAAUGAGUA